rnacentral:rRNA from 1 species
AUUGAACGCUGGCGGCAGGCCUAACACAUGCAAGUCGAGCGGAGCGGCGGACGGGUGAGUAAUGCCUAGGAAUCUGCCUGGUAGUGGGGGAUAACGUCCGGAAACGGGCGCUAAUACCGCAUACUAUCAGAUGAGCCUAGGUCGGAUUAGCUAGUUGGUGGGGUAAAGGCCUACCAAGGCGACGAACCGUAACUGGUCUGAGCGGAUGAUCAGUCAAUCUGGAACUGAGACAGGGGCCAGGCUCCUACGGGAGGCAGCAGUGGGGAAUUAUGGGCAAUGGGCGGAAGCCUGAUCCAGCCAUGCCGCGUAUGUGAAGAAGGGCUUCGGAUUGUAAAGCUCUUUAAGUUGGGGGACGUUACCAACAGAAUGAGCACCGGCUAACUUCGUGCGAGCAGCCGCGGUAAUAC